rnacentral:rRNA from 1 species
UUCGGUGGGGAUUAGUGGCGAACGGGUGAGUAACACGUGGGCAAUCUGCCCUUCACUCUGGGACAAGCCCUGGAAACGGGGUCUAAUACCGGAUAACACUUCUGCUCUCAUGGGCAGGGGUUAAAAGCUCCGGCGGUGAAGGAUGAGCCCGCGGCCUAUCAGCUUGUUGGUGAGGUAAUGGCUCACCAAGGCGACGACGGGUAGCCGGCCUGAGAGGGCGACCGGCCACACUGGGACUGAGACACGGCCCAGACUCCUACGGGAGGCAGCAGUGGGGAAUAUUGCACAAUGGGCGAAAGCCUGAUGCAGCGACGCCGCGUGAGGGAUGACGGCCUUCGGGUUGUAAACCUCUUUCAGCAGGGAAGAAGCGAAAGUGACGGUACCUGCAGAAGAAGCGCCGGCUAACUACGUGCCAGCAGCCGCGGUAAUACGUAGGGCGCAAGCGUUGUCCGGAAUUAUUGGGCGUAAAGAGCUCGUAGGCGGCUUGUCACGUCGGGUGUGAAAGCCCGGGGCUUAACCCCGGGUCUGCAUUCGAUACGGGCUAGCUAGAGUGUGGUAGGGGAGAUCGGAAUUCCUGGUGUAGCGGU